rnacentral:rRNA from 1 species
UACGGGGGGAGCAAGCGUUGUUCGGAUUUACUGGGCGUAAAGGGCGCGUAGGCGGCGCAACAAGUCAGUUGUGAAAUCUCCGGGCUUAACUCGGAAAGGUCAACUGAUACUGUGCGACUAGAGUGCGGAAGGGGCAACUGGAAUUCUCGGUGUAGCGGUGAAAUGCGUAGAUAUCAAGAGGAACACCGGAGGUGAAGACGGGUUGCUGGGCUGACACUGACGCUGAGGCGCGAAAGCUAGGGUAGCAAACGGG